AUUGAACGCUGGCGGCAGGCCUAACACAUGCAAGUCGAGCGCGCGGCGGACGGGUGAGUAAGGUAUGGAGAUCUGACCGAUAGCGGGGGCUAACUACGGGAAACGGUGGCUAAUACCGCAUACUAUCGGAUGAACGCAUACGGGAUUAGCGAGUAGGUGGGGUAAAGGCUCACCUAGGCGACGAUCCAUAGCCGGUCGGAGAGGAUGAUCUGCCACACUGGGACGGAGACACGGCCCAGACUCCUACGGGAGGCAGCAGUAGGGAAUCUUGCGCAAUGGGCGAAAGCCUGAUGGAGCCAUGCCGCGUGAGUGAAGAAGGACUUAGGGUCGUAAAGCACUUUCAUCGGGGAGGCGUUACCCACCGAGAAAGCAACGGCUAACUCCGUGCCAGCAGCCGCGGUAAUAC
rnacentral:rRNA from 1 species